GACGAACGCUGGCGGCGUGCUUAACACAUGCAAGUCGAACGGAAAGGCCCUGCUUUUGUGGGGUGCUCGAGUGGCGAACGGGUGAGUAACACGUGAGUAACCUGCCCUUGACUUUGGGAUAACUUCAGGAAACUGGGGCUAAUACCGGAUAGGAGCUCCUGCUGCAUGGUGGGGGUUGGAAAGUUUCGGCGGUUGGGGAUGGACUCGCGGCUUAUCAGCUUGUUGGUGGGGUAGUGGCUUACCAAGGCUUUGACGGGUAGCCGGCCUGAGAGGGUGACCGGCCACAUUGGGACUGGGAUGCGGCCCAGACGCCUACGGGAGGCAGCAGUGGGGAAUAUUGCACAAUGGGCGGAAGCCGGAUGCAGCAACGCCGCGUGCGGGAUGACGGCCUUCGGGUUGGAAACCGCUUUCGCCUGUGACGAAGCGUGAGUGACGGUAAUGGGUAAAGAAGCACCGGCUAACUACGU
rnacentral:rRNA from 1 species